GAAUUGAAAAUUAACACAAACAACUUGGACAAACACCAAAGCAGCCCAACAAGAAUUGAUAAAUAGCAAAUGAUAUCACACAAUUCCAUGCACAAGCAUGUGCCAGUCCACAAAAUUCAAAUGUCAAAUUGGAAGACUGUCGAAUUGUGAGGUACCACUGUACUGUGGUAAAGAUUUUUCUGUUUCAUUUGUCAAUGUCAGUUGUUUUUAUAAUGAUAAAAUAUUAAAGUUGUACACAUCAUACAUCAUUUUGAGAUACAAUACUAUUAUGGAAAAGUUUAAAUGCAAUACAGUUGCUAUAUAGCAUAGCACAUGGAAUUUGAAUUAGCA
rnacentral:lncRNA from 1 species